CUACGGAGGAUGCAAGCGUUAUCCGGAUUUAUUGGGUUUAAAGGGUGCGUAGGCGGUUUGCUAAGCGGGAGGUGAAAUGCCUGCGCUCAACGUCGGAAGUGCCUCCCGAACUGGUGGACUUGAAUGACUCUGCCGGGGGUGGAAUGUGUAGUGUAGCGGUGAAAUGCUUAGAGAUUACACAGAACACCGAUUGCGAAGGCAUCUCACGAAGGGUUGAUUGACGCUGAGGCACGAAAGCGUGGGGAUCAAACAGGAUUAGAUACCCUGGUAGUCCACGCAGUAAACGAUGAUGGCUAACCGCUGGAUCCAUCGGUUCAGUGGCCAAGCGAAAGCGAUAAGCCAUCCACCUGGGGAGUACGACCGCAAGGUUGGAACUCAAAUGAAUUGGCGGGG
rnacentral:rRNA from 1 species